rnacentral:rRNA from 1 species
UACGUAGGGCGCAAGCGUUGUCCGGAAUUAUUGGGCGUAAAGGGCUCGUAGGCGGCCAACUAAGUCGGAUGUGAAAUCCCCAGGCUUAACCUGGGAACUGCAUCCGAUACUGGAUGGCUUGAAUCCGGGAGAGGGAUGCAGAAUUCCAGGUGUAGCGGUGAAAUGCGUAGAUAUCUGGAGGAAUACCGGUGGCGAAGGCGGCAUCCUGGACCGGCAUUGACGCUGAGGAGCGAAAGCUAGGGGAGCAAACGGG